AAAGUUAAGGCGACCUUUUGAGGCAAGGAGAUAAAAUACUAACAACAAAUUAUAAAAGUGAGGCUUUGAGAAAUUAAGGAAUUUACUCAAAAAUCAUAUAGUUAAUAAGUGAUAGAGCUAGAACUUGGGAUGAGGCCUCUGACUCCAAUGUCCAACCUUUGAGGAAGUGCAACACACCCUCUGGGAACAAGCUUGACUAAAAAAGAACCAAGAGCUGCUCUGCUCCUCCAAACUCAAAUCACAUCGAAUAAACUCAUGGCCAAAACAGUCUAUCUGACAGACCUCAUCAUGAUAGCAG